AACUCGGCAGGCAGAAAUCAGGUGGCUGGCGGAAACCACCCACGUGGCGGUAGGGCUCGGGUGGCUUUUGGUGGAAAGACUUAUCGUAACACCAAUUGUUUGUGAUUUUUGUGCUUAUAAACCCUGCUUCUGCCCUGGCUUGGGCUUUCAGGAGUAAGGAGGCUCCAAAGUCCUUGUCCUGCAGCCCCGAUCCAUCGUGACCUGUUUAUGUGAACCAAUAAGUGUCUCUCUCCUUGCCCAUGGCGCAUAACAGGCUAGGUGUAGCAAUGCUUUAAAAUGUAAGUACACCAAGGCAAACAGGAAGUUAGUAUGGAUGCAGAGAGGUAGGUAAACUGGAAUAUGGUAUGAAACUAACUGAAGUACUCGUAGGUAGUGAAGAGUGUUGGUUGAUGUGCUUCUCUGUUAACAAAAUGCAUCCUGACCACCUCUCGGUGCUUCAGAACAAUGCCUGAUGUGUUCAUCGUUAUUACGGGCACACCACUAAUUGCUCACCACCUCUUAUCCAUGCGUCUCCCUCAAUGCACCACUUCUCUGGCUAGACCAUCAUACAGCCUACCUCCAGUGUUCUCCAACUCUUAAGACUCUGAACAUAAUUGCUUCACAACAAUUUUUGUUACAUCAUUUGCUGUGUUCAGCUUGUUUUUCUAAAAAUGCACGGCAUCAAAUAUUAUCAGAGUUCCUAGUAAUUAUUGGCGUCCAUGUGUAAACCAAGGGCCUGGAAGAGUGAGUAGAGCCAUGGCCACCAAAACAGAGUGUUAGAAACCGUUCCUACCUGAACCAGGAGGGAUACUCUCCCUCAGUAAGAUGGAAGCGGUGACUUGUCACAAUUGUAACAUUUAAUUCUCUAAAAAAAAUUCAGUAAAUUAUCACUCUUUCCAUCUACCCAUUAGUAAAUGAAAACUCCUACAGUUAAGGCAUUCUACAAAUGCUCACAUCUGAUAUGAAAUGGGGUGGAAGCCAGAUGCCAGGCCUACUUGAGGAUAAACCCAUGUCACUUCCCACCAGGUUACACAAUAUUGAUUGCUUUAGAUUUAUCUUAUUAGUCUUUAAAACCUGCACAUGCCUGUGUGUUUCUGUGUGGGUAUGAGCACACAUGUGCCGGUGCUCAGAGAUGGAGGCCUCGAAUUUCCCAGAGCUGCAGGUCCAGGCAGUUGUUAUUUGUCCCAUAUAUGCAGUGACAACCGAACUCCUGACCUCUGGAAAAAGCAGUGCAUUCUCUUAACCACUGAGCUAUCUCUCCAGCCCCAUUGUAUCAAUUUUUCAUGUGUCAAAGCAUGGAAAACAAAAAGUAGCCGAAAACAAAAAGAAACCGGAGGUAUAGAAGGAUCACUGGUUUUUACUGUAUGUUAACACACAUAAAAAUUAUGUCUCGGAGUUCUGGUGUCUUAUUUCAUGCAGGGCAUGGUAGGUUUUCCUGCACAUCCUUGAUGGGGCUUGGCACUGCCUGAACUUAGGCUUAUUAGCUCUGCUGAUGAGGUCAUCAGGUGCUAAGGGAUCCCAACUCUGGCACUGUGAUUUCAGAGACUCCAAGUAGGUUGUAAAAAUGUGAGCCAAGAUCACAAGAAUCUUGUUAACAAGGAGAUGUUGACACAUGAAACAUCAGCAAAGGAGACAAGAUAGCAAGUAAAUGAACACACUGCUUGGUGACAAUGCUCAGAAGGGAGAGCAGGAAGAAAGGCAGGUCCUUGGUUCUCACAAUCCACCACUCACCACUUGCUGACUCUUUUGUUGUCCAACUGGUUAAAUCCACACUCAAGAUGAAGGUCCUCAUUCUACAACAAGUCCUUAUCACUCAGCUACAUGCAAGUAGUCGUCACUUCCCAGGAGACUGGCUCAGUUUCUUGUUGUAUCUGCUGGUGAGAAACCCCAAUGCAGGGAUUAGCAGACAAAGCGAGACACAAGUGAUAUGUUCAAGACUUGUCAAGAGCAUAUAAUUGACAGGAAAAGUGGCUCCUGGGAUGAGAGCCAGCCAGAUCCUCUGGGAGCAGUGCCAUUGGCCAGGCUGGCACACAGGAACACAUGCUCCAGUCUCUCUGGACUUGACAGCUGCUUCAGCCUUUGACAUGACCUUUUGGGAUCCUUACUAACCUGCUCCAGGCAGUUGUCUUCCAUGAAUUCUUAUGAUACGGAUUUCCACACAAGGCUCCUUAUCUUUCCAUCCUGUUUCUAUACAUGCAUGUGGUGGUUUGAAUAAGAAUGGCUCCCGUAGACUCAGCAGUGGCACAUGAGGAGGUGUGGCCUUGCUGGAGUAGGUGUGGCAUUGUUGGAGGAAGUGUGUCACUGAGGUCUUACCUGCUCAAGCUACACUCAGGAUGACACACAAUCUCCUGCUGCCUGCACAUCAAGAUGAAGAAUUCUCAGCUCUGCCCUCAUGUCGCCAUCUCCUACCAUGAUGACAAUGGACCAAACCUCUGAAACUAGAAAAUGGGGGAUGGGGUGAAGCCGGAGUGGGAAAAUUAGUGGAUCCAUUUGAAAUAGAAGUUCCAUGAAGAGCAAAGAGACCGUGAAGGAACCUAUUCAAAAGAUACAGAAAACAAAAUACUGGAAUGGCUAAGGGCCAGCUUGACAGCAACAGCUCACAUCCCCCCUUCACAGGAGGACGGAGAGAAUGGGACAGACUUUGUCAUUGUCCACAGUGAGUCUCAAACUUCUGGAACAAUACCAGUUACUUCUGAGACCAAAAAAACUUUAUAGAUAUAUAAAAUUAAAUAGAAAUAUUUAAAGAGGCCAUAGAGGCAUAGCAUGGACAACACACAAAAUUUGAAGGAAAGCAAAAGCAACAAAAGAAAGUUGAUUAAGAUUCCUCAGGUCUUGAAAUCUGGAUCUGGAUCCAAAGGACAAAAAGAAUUACAGAGAUGAGAGCAAGAAAUACAACACAAAGCCAGAAGACACCAUUCAUCCAAGUUUAUGGAAAUGGCACCUUGAGAGUACAGAACUUUACAGCAGGACAUGGUGGCCCACAUGGGAAGCCAGUGCCAGCAGAUGGGGGUUUCUUUUACCAUAGAAAUGAGGAGAAUGGCAAUGUAUUAAGAUCCCAGAGAAACAGUUAGUAAUAACAAAUGCUCUCCAGGUAGUGUCCGAAUCUGCUGAGCAGCUCUGUCUUUAUCUACUGUCUCUAUCUCAUGGUUCAUUGUUCAUCUGGCUUCACUCUAAAUACACAUAGCUUUUCCAAAGGACUGAUGUGUGAUCUAAUGGCCUGUGGUCUCCAAAAGUGACAGUCUGGGAGGUGGCCACCUUUCAUUGUCCCCUGGCCCAGCAAUGUCUAGUGGUUCUACUCUGAGGAAAGUAAAAGGACAUUAAGGAGGUAGAUAGCAGAAGAUGAAAGGGGCAUUGAAGAAAGAGGCGUGGACAGCCUAGCAGAGGUGUGUCGAGCCUACACUGGGUGUGUGUGGACCUCGAAUACCUGUUUAUUUAUUUUAUGACCCCUCUUGGCUGCCUGUGUCAUAGAGCUUUGAGGACAUCUGUGCUCAGGAAUCUGUUUUGAAAGACUUCAUUCCAGGACAGAACUGCUGGAGAGAGGAUCACCAAUGAUCUUCACAAUUGCCUCACAUGAAGUUCACAGAUCAAGAGGAAACGGUGACAAGGUUGAGGAAGGGUCAUAGGUAGCAGGCACAGUGGUCCUAUGUGACACUUUGUACCUGUGUGAGAUGGGAGCCCAUAAGACAACAAUCUUCCCAAGCUCCUGAUGUUUGGAUUUUCCGUUAACUUUUAAGCCUCUCUAUCUAAGGAGCUCCCUUUAGGGAUUAAAAUUUUAUAUUUACAAGAAAAAAAAUGGAGGAGGAGAAAUCCUUGCUUGCAACUGCCUAGCAGGGAUAGAAGGGGUCGGAACUGAUGACACUUGAAGAUAUGGGAGGCAAGGAGGCGAUUUGGUUAGUGUGCCUACGAGGCCAUGUAUUAUUUCCUUCAGAUAGUCUUCCCCUCAUUCACAGCUGCUAGUGUCUCAUGUCAUAGGCACUUUUAAGGCCAAAACUGAGUGUUCUUGGUUACCCGGAUGUAGGAACUGGAAGCACUUACCAACACCCAUGAGGACAGAUAUGGAACUAAUGAGUUCAGUGCUAGCAAUGCCAUUCGGGUGAUACGACUUCCACACACAGCAUCAAGGGCCUAGAAGAACCCAUGAAUGACAUGGAGAGGAAUCGAUGGGCCAGGUCCUCCAAGAACCAGUCAGGAGGUGGAAUUCUCUCUUGAGACCUCUUCAUGCACGAUCAGACCUUGGAAAAAAGUGACCUCUUGUCAGGCCACAGCUCCAGCAAAUACCUGACCCCAAAAAGGCUUUGCUGCCUCAUACUCUCCACAAAACCAAGUGGCUCCAACUGGACACUUGGAAAGAAAACAGACUUGGAUAAUUGUGGUUAGACAAACAAUUUCAAGAUCAUUUGGCCUGUGUGUUUAGAAGGCUCAGGGGGCCUGAGGAAUGCGGUGAAUUUACAGGAAGAGGGACAAGAACACACAUUCCUCCAGAACGCCCAAUCACCAAGCUCUUGUUUAUUUUUUGGAACCAGUGAUGUCUGGAGAGAGGUCAUCCUUUCUGAGGUUGGAGAGUGAAGACAUGUUCUGAGGUUAUAGCCAGACAAGACAAAUGAGGGAUAGAAGGACAUCUAAUGUGGUUUCUAACAAAAGCUAGCUCCAGUUCAGAGGUGGGAACUGAGAACUGUCGGAGUCUACUGGAGGGCCUUGCAGGGACUCAACCCUGAGGGAGUGUAGACGGAUGCACACCUGAUGCUGGCAGUAAAGGAGCUGUGAUUUGGUGUUGCCUAAAGGUCUGCGUGGUGAAGGUUGGUCCACCUGUGGAGCUUCUGGGAUGUGUUGGACUCUAAAAGUAGCAGGAGGCUGGAGAGAUGACUGAGGAGGGAAAGGCAUUUUCCACCAAGCUUGGUAAACUGAGUUCUAGCUACUGAACCCACAUAGUGGAAGGAGAGGGCCAACUUUCACAAGUCCAAACACAUGCCAUGGUGCAUACAGGUGUGCACACACACAGAUGUACAGACACAC